rfam:Canis lupus familiaris chromosome X, whole genome shotgun sequence.
GCCUGGCUGGCUCAGUCGGUAGAGCAUGUGACUCUUGAUCUCGAGGUUGUGAGUUUAAGCCCCAUAUUGGGCA